GGGUCUGUAGCUCAAUUGGCAGAGCAAGCGGCUCAUAACCGCGAGGUCGCGGGAUCGUUCCCCGCCGGACCCA
rnacentral:tRNA from 1 species